UCUGCACACUGGUUGGCUGGCUUCUACUUGCUUGUCAUAGCAACCAGCGAGGCCGCCGGGCUUUGUUGUUUCCUUGCCUACAGUUUUAUUUUUAAAUCCUAGUCUCUGAGAUAAACAAAACAAGUUUUCCUCCCACUGGAAAAGCUAAUCUGAAUAUUGGCCGAAGGGGGAAAAAAAAGGCUCACCUACGGACAGAUGUCUUUAGACGUUUGUUCCGGGUGGGCAUUAGUGGGCUCCAGGGAAUAUCCUGGAAAUGCUACUUCUGACCUUGCUUCCUCUUCCGGAAACCUCUACUUGGUAGCUAGGUUUGGGUUGGUCUGGGGAAUAGAGUCAUCGGCUCCAGGUCGUUCAGGGCUACAAGAGGUUUGAGAAUCAAAUGUGUGCUACAUUAUGGUCUUUCUAAAACAACGGAUCCCCAGCAGAGGUACAAAUCAAACUAAAAGUGUUUGUCCCAGCACGCUGAUACCAGAUGGACUCAGAAGUGUUUGUCAAAUGACAGUGUAAUGUGUUCAAGGUUUGAACAAGACAAACAGAGUGUAUCUCAAGUUGUGAACAGAGAGAGAAGAGGCCGAAGAACAGAAUGUUACCCUGGAGAAAAGAAGGUGGUCAAGAUAGAAAAAGAAGGCUGAGGAUGACAGAAUGGAUAUCCAGGCUUGUGUCUGAGGAGGCCUGGCAGUUUCAGGAUUCCUGACCCAUUGUGUAAAGAAGUCUAGUUAUCCCUUGCUGGAGAGAUGACAGUGAACACACAGUGAAUCGUCAACUGUCGUCAACACCCCAAUGAAAGCAUCAGCUAUCUAAGCUGGGCCGAACCGGACAAUCCAUUCCAGUAGCACUCCCAAGCUGAAUGCAGCCACAGGAAACCACAAUGAAAGAUGAGCUAGACUCCAUUAGCCCUACCCAAACUGAGCAUCUGCGAGCAAAUAAAAGUGCCUGAAACCACA